UAUGUGAUCGUCUCUCGCAUAUCAAUAAGCGGAGGAAAAGAAACUAACAAGGAUUCCCCUAGUAACGGCGAGUGAAGCGGGAAGAGCUCAAAUUUGAAAUCUUAAAGGGUUUCCCUUUACGAAUUGUAGUUUAAAGAAGUGUUUUCUGUUGAGGUUUUGGUAAAAGUUCUUUGGAAUAGGACAUCAUAGAGGGUGAGAAUCCCGUAUUUGACCUUUACUUUCAACUUUGUGAUACACUUUCAAAGAGUCGGAUUGUUUGGGAGUGCAGUCCAAAAUGGGUGGUAAAUUUCAUCUAAAGCUAAAUAUUGGCGAGAGACCGAUAGCGAACAAGUACCGUGAGGGAAAGAUGAAAAGAACUUUGAAAAGAGAGUUAAACAGUACGUGAAAUUGUCAAAAGGGAAGCGUUUGACACCAGUGUUGUUUUUCUGAAAAUCAAUUAAAGAACUGUUUAUGCUAAGUUGUUUAGACUUUAUCAGCUAACUGUUUAGUUUUGAGCUUUUCUUUAAUGCACUUUUCAGUUAACAAGUCAACAUCAAUUUCUUUUGCUGUAAAAAAGCUUGAGGAAGGUGGCUUGAGAUUCGUCUUAAGUGUUUAUAGCCUCUUGCCUAUGCAGUCGGAGAGAUUGAGGUCUGCAGCGUAGAUCCUUCGGGGCUAAAUGCAUUUGUGCUAAGUUAUAGCAUUUUAUAGACAACUUGUUGACUAUGAUUUGUCUUGUAGCUUACUCGCUUAUGUUAUUUUACCUACGCUUAGGAUGUUGACUGAUAUGUAGUCGUA
rnacentral:rRNA from 1 species